UGGGGAAUAUUGGGCAAUGGGCGAAAGCCUGACCCAGCGACGCCGUGUGGGCGAUGAAGGCCUUCGGGUUAUAAAGCCCUGUGAGGUGGAAAGAAGGGUCCAGAGGUUAAUACCCUUUGGACUUUGACGGUACCACCAGAGGAAGCACCGGCUAACUCCGUGCCAGCAGCCGCGGUAAUACGGAGGGUGCCAGAGUUGUUCGGAAUUACUGGGCGUAAAGGGCGCGUAGGUGGGUGUGUAAGUCAGAUGUGAAAUCCUUAGGCUUAACCUGAGAACUGCAUCUGAUACUGC
rnacentral:rRNA from 1 species